UACGUAGGGUGCAAGCGUUAAUCGGAAUUACUGGGCGUAAAGCGUGCGCAGGCGGCUUUGCAAGACAGAUGUGAAAUCCCCGGGCUCAACCUGGGAACUGCAUUUGUGACUGCAUGGCUGGAGUGCGGCAGAGGGGGGAUGGAAUUCCGCGUGUAGCAGUGAAAUGCGUAGAUAUGCGGAGGAACACCGAUGGCGAAGGCAAUCCCCUGGGCCUGCACUGACGCUCAUGCACGAAAGCGUGGGGGAGCAAACAGG
rnacentral:rRNA from 1 species